UACGUAGGUGGCAAGCGUUGUCCGGAAUUAUUGGGCGUAAAGGGCUCGUAGGCGGUCUGCUGCGUCGGAAGUGAAAACUCAGGGCUUAACCCUGAGCCUGCUUUCGAUACGGGCAGACUCGAGGUAUGCAGGGGAGAAUGGAAUUCCUGGUGUAGCGGUGAAAUGCGCAGAUAUCAGGAGGAACACCAGUGGCGAAGGCGGUUCUCUGGGCAUUACCUGACGCUGAGGAGCGAAAGUGUGGGGAGCGAACAGG
rnacentral:misc_RNA from 1 species